GAUCAUGGCUCGGGAUGAACGCUAGCUACAGGCUUAACACAUGCAAGUCGAGGGGCAGCAUGGUCUUAGCUUGAUAAGACUGAUGGCGACCGGCGCACGGGUGAGUAACACGUAUCCAACCUGCCGUCUACUCUUGGACAGCCUUCUGAAAGGAAGAUUAAUACAAGAUGGCAUCAUGAGUCCGCAUGUUCACAUGAUUAAAGGUAUUCCGGUAGACGAUGGGG
rnacentral:rRNA from 1 species